ensembl:lncRNA
UCAAAGUAAAGAUAUUGAAAUAAUUUAUUUCCCUGAUACAAGUGUAAAGUAUUGCUAUAGUACAAUUAUAGGCCUACAAAGCAUCUUAAAGCACGGAUUUUUAAAGUUUUUAAGGCAUGUGGAAGAUAAGAAGACAGUAUAUACAUGGGACACACUAUGGUGUCUUUUUACUACAGAGGACUACACAGUUUGUAACAGGAUAUAGUUUUAUGAAACGCCAGUGCAGAUAAAAUGGGUGUAAUGAGGUAUGACACACUAUAAACAGAAUAUCACCUUGUCUAGUUUUACCAACAUUAUUAUUAUUAUUAUUAUUAUUAUUAUAUCAUCUUGUAUUGAUUUAGAUUUUAAGAAAUGUUAGAAGAAAAAGAAAAGGUGGGUAGUCUCAGAAACUUUGGUGGAAGGGAUCCACCAUCCAGUUAUCUUCUUAAGCACUUAGGUUCACAAAGCGUUAGAGCCCCAGUCCAUCAACAGGGGAUAAAACUAAAACACAAAAUCUUCUACAGUAGGUGUUCAGUUGGGUUUGAAAGGCAAUGUCAUACAUUUCACAAAAUGUUCACUCUUUUUAUCAUUCUUUGAACUCUUAUUAGCAAAGAAACAUUUCAUCAGAGGACAGAGGUGAUAACCCAGAGCCACAGCAUCGUGACAAAUGGAGUGAAACCACAACACCGACCGUGUUGCUUUACUGCAGAGGGCAAGGGUCCAGUUCUUUCCUUUAAAUUGUCACGUGUUCAAACAUCAUUAUAGCAUGAAAGUUGACCUUUGUGAAAUGACGUAGAAGAAAAUCUUACGUAGUCUUACGUAGCAGAAAAUCUUCUGUAUGUUUAAACAGGUGUAAGAGCCAUGCCAGCAGCUCCGUGAGUGCUAAUUUUAGUAAGCUAUUGUGGUACGUUGCAAAGUAGUCAUUAUGAAUGGGAAGUUUGUCUGAAAAUUCAGUUCAUCUAAUGAAUUUGUCUUUUUAUUCAUUUUUUAAUCAUGUAAUUUUGUAAUGUUCUUCGGGGUUAAAACAGGGCGUUACUCAUGCAAAUGUGAGUGAAUGUACAACAGCUGUUGUUGUUGUACACUGGUGUUGUGAUAUGUUGGUGAAUGUAUAUGUUUGAAAUAAAAAAUGAACUGAACUGAACAACUAAUGUGGAUUUUCACACAUACCUGAAUGAUCUUUGAACAUAGCUCUACGUAAAUACAAGACAAACGAGCACUGAUCUAUUUCUGAAGCUGAUGAGCUGAUGUUUACUUCCUCAUGGAACCAGCCACUGAGAAAUUUAAACAUUUACAGAAAAUCAGAAAUAUCAGCAAAGAAACACAAGGAUUUACUAGCAGCAGUGUAAACGAUAACAGGCAAAGAAGCAGCUUUGUAGUGUUUUACUGCACGUCAGCACAGUAGUUCAGUGCUACUAAUACACAUUAACACAUUAACAUAUCUGCUAGUUGUAGAGGUGUUUCCAUUGAUUUGGAAAGUCGAGUUUCACCUAACAUUAAAAGAAAGAGGAACAACAGAGCCUAAUGCACUUUUUUUCAAGAACAAAUGCAGCCAUUUUUUUUUAAAUGAACAAGAUGUACAUGCAAUAAUUCUUAUAUAACUUUUCUUGAAAUUAAAAAUAUUUUUCUGAAUUAUUAAUUUGGAUACUUAUCUUAGAAAUUCCAAAAACAUGUAAUAAAAAAACUGCUCUGUUUUCCUGAAUUAGAUUAGUCCAGUUUAAUUUUUUAUAGAACCAGUCAAAAGUUUGGACUCGAAAAUAAAAAGUAUUUCUUUUUUCACUAGCUAUUUUUGUGCAAUGCUAACAGCAGUGUCUUGAUUUCAUGUGAUGACAUCACGAGCUGUACUUUUCUCUGUCUUUGCUUCACACUCAUCUUCCCUGCAUGUGUGGGGUUUUUUGUGUGUAUUUGCAUCUUUCAACUCUACACCUUGCAUAUCAGUUGACAGAUACACCAGUGGGACUGUCUUUUAUGUGUUAUCAUUCCCUACAUAUACAUUCAUAUUGCUAUGAUGUCUGGAAGGUGCACAGUGAAAUAAUAACACACCUCAAAUGUUUUAAAACUAAAGUAUGAUUAUUAAAUGUAAAGUAUAGAAAGUGGUUAAAGUGUAGCGAGUAAAAGUAAAAAGCUGUUAGAAGAUUUGGGAGUCAAUGGAAGUACAGAUGGAUUAAAAACUGGCAGCAGAAGUAACAAGCCCUACUCGGCGCAAGCAGGAAGAACAUUCCCACAUUCAUGGAGGAGGCAUCUCAUUAUUUUGGAAAAACAGAGCAGAUUUUUUCUGAGAUUGAAACACGGGACUUUUUUUUCUCGAGUGACUGCAUUACGCUUCUACAAGGAUCAUAGUGAUGCUCACAGUGGAGAAAAUGAGAAGAACAGGCUACUUCUUGUAGUUUGUGCCAUGUUUGCUGAAGUCCUGAUGCCUUCAUGUUGUUGGACUGCGGUUGGUGUUUCAAAGUUCACAAGUGCAGGUGGUUGGAAAGGAGCAAUAACCUUGUUUCUCCUCA